rnacentral:ncRNA from 1 species
UAAACUAUUUUGAAGGUCAUGGCCAAGCCACAUCAAAUUGGUGUAUGAGACCCCCUUGUUUGGGGGACAAGGGACCCCCCUUCACCCAACGAUUUGAUUGGUAAAGUCUACGGAGGUAUACAUAGUACAUACCCUACCCCCCUCUGGAUUUGAACUUGUGACCUUUUAAGAGGAAACACAUGUUCUUAACCAUUAGGCCCACUCAAGUUGUAUUAUAACCUUAUAAUUAAGUACAGUCGACUCAAAACUAGUAUAGACAAGGGGAAUCUGACUGUUGAAUUAAAUGAAAGCAUUGUGAUGGUCCCUGUGAAUGUUGACGCAAUGUGAUUUAUGGUCAGUGCUCUGCAUGUCAAAGUGAAGAAAUUCAACCAAGCACGAGUAAACAGUGGGAGUAACUAUGACUAUCUUAAGGUAGCCAGAUGCCUCGUCAUCUAAUUAGUGAUGCUCAUGAAUGGAUUAACAAUAUUCCCACUAUCACUAUCUACUAUCUAGAGAAACCACAACCAAGGGAACGGGCUUGGCAGAAUCGUCGAGGAAAUAAGACAUUGUUGAGCUUGACUCUAGUCUGACUUUGUGAAAUGACUUGAGAGGUGUAGAAUAAGUGGGAGGCAUUUUUGGCACAAGUGAAAUAUCACUACUUUUAACGUUAUUUUACUUAUUCUAUGGGGCAAAUAUGGGGAAUUACCCUUUUUUUUUGCCAUAAUACACCUUUCGGCAAGUCAAUCUGGGCGGAAGACAUUGUCAGGUGGGGAGUUUGGUUGGGGUGGAUCAUCUGUUAAAAGAUAACACACAUUUCCUCAAAGUGUUGUCAUUGAUUGCAAUGGUUGAGAACUCAUUCUUCACGCACUUGAUGUCAUUGAUUGUCAAGCAUUGCAAGAUAUAAUCAUGAAAGAACAAUUUGAUGGGUAUUACCAUAAUCAAUUCAUCUUUGU